ensembl:lncRNA
AUUGAAGUAAAAAUAUACUCUACUCAAAUAAAAAUUGGGACCAAUAGAAGAUCCCUUGGGUCCUGUGCAUUUUGGCAGUGGGCUCUCUUUAUGGCUCUACUAUUUCUUUCUUUUUUUUUUUUUUUUUUGGUACCGGGGAUCAAACUCAGGACCUUGUGCUUUUGAGGCAGGCGGUGGAACCACUGGGCUAAAACCCCAGCCCUGCUUCUACCAUUUCAAAUGCUCUUUGAAAUGUUGGUUCUGGCUGUCUAGGGCCAGAAGAUGUGACCUGCUAUGCAGACUGUCUCUUUGGCCUCCACAAAUCAGCAGUCCUAUAAUUCUGUGAUUACAGAUUAAAGAGCCCCGUUGCCACUUGUGAGUGUGUGGUGUAUGCUGUGUGUGAAGGGGCAGAGGAUGGGAUGGGCAGAGCUGGAGAAAAGAUCAGCCCAUCCCAGGUGGGGGUUGGGAGCUCAAGGUCAAAGGCAGGGAGUUGGGAAAGAGGUGUGCCACGAGUGACAUUCAUUUUCAAGUGCUUUGUCUGGUCUCAGCCUCACUUUGAAUUGCUGGGGUGAGCAGGAAGUUGAGAGGCCACCCUGCCAUUCAGCCCUGGCGCCCAGACCACUUGGCUGUGAUUUAUCUGUCAGGCCAGGACUGGCCCUAGGUGGGCAUACUGGGAGGGUGCAGGGGCUGUGGGGCCCCUUAGCAGAGGACCCCAGUCACCUCUCCAGGCUGAGUUUGAGUUCUCUGCUGCUGUUACUACCCAGGUGGCCAUUGCUGACAUGUGACUUCGUUGGCGAUUUGACUCAUCACCAGCUCUUAGGGGAGCUCUGCUCUGUUCUGUUAUAGGAAAUGCAACUUCAGGGACUGUGUUUUCCUUGGCUGAAAUGGACAGAGGGUACCAAAUUUUGGCUCAAAGAUGUGGGCAGCAUCUUUGGGUGUGAAUAAAUUCAUUAUCCACUUCUUUCCUCCCAGGGAAGCAGCGAGUGCAGAAUAAGGGGCCCAGAGCUGGAUUUAUCUGGACCUUUCCAUUAUCAUGCUAUGUGACCCUAGUCAAGCUCCUCACCCUCUCUGGCCCUUCUCUCCAGGAGUCAUGUCUUUGCUGAGACUGAAAUGAUUCUCUAACUCUGCCCUAAUGUGGAGCAACAGCCUGCUUCUAGGGAUUCUUGUUCCUCUUGAAUAGUACCUUUUCAGAAGGAAGAAUGUUAUGAGUUUGGGGUUGGGCUCCUUGAAGCAGAGAAGAUCCAGAUGUAGUCACCUAUACUCUGUAGUCCAGGUUCCUUUCAGAUCCUGGCCAGCUGCCUCAGACCUGAGGAAGCAGCUAGCUGGGGUCAGGGGCACAGUCCCUGCCUGCAGAGGCUUAAGACAGCCAACCAGCCUUCGGUGGCCUCGUGAGUCCUGUUGAACCACUACCAGCUACACCCAAGGCCAAGGACAAACAUCUCUGCUUCAUGAUGCCCUGAGCCGCUGCUUGGGAACUGUCAGAGAGCUCUGCCUGCCCGGGGAGUGGGAAGAGGCCCUGCUCACCUGGAAGAGCAGCUCCUGUCCUAAGAAAAUUUCUCCUAGAAAAUGAAACUCUUCAUUUUACCACUGUCAGCUUAGUCCCAACAUUUGAGUGCUGUGCGUCAGUGGCUCCUGGCUUUUCCAUUCUGGCGCUGAAGAUGACAGUCCCUGGGGGAGACCCGGCCACAUCCUGCCAGCUCUGGUCUCUGCACUCUGCACAGCCUCUCCCCCGCUGCACCCUUCCUCUGCCAGGACCAAGGCACAGUGUCUUAGAUGGGGAGACCACGGACUUGCCAGAGUUUGAGGCAGACCUUGGUGAGUCCCUCACCCAACCCCUUUAAUUAUGGAGAGGUCCAGUAAACUGAGCAAAUGAGGAAGGCUUGCUCAAAGCUGGUGGGCUCCUAGCAGGUGGCAGAUUGUGAUUUUAGCCUGGACUCAGUCUCCAGUCCUGGGCUUCAUCUCACCAGCCUGCUGGUGGACUGAACAUUUGAUUCCCCCUUCAAGGGACUGCCAAGAACAAUCAGCCUGGUCUUUUCGGAAAAUACCUCUCAGAGUUCCUUGUUCAAGACCUGGUCAUGUGCACUUAUUGAGGAACCACUAGAUGCCAGGCAUUCAAGUGGCUAAGGACACAAUGACUGCCGUACUAGAGGAGGGAGUAACAGUCUCCUCCUGCCUUGUCACCUUCAGAGCACUUGUCAUUUUCUGAAAUUGCCUGACAUAUUCAUUCAUCUAUGAUCUUGUAGCUUUCCACACCCUGCCCAUACUCCCAAGCCCCAAAGAGUCCUUUGUCCCCACUGGACUCCCAGCUACCAGAGGAGCCCCAGUGUUCUAAAUUUACUGGUGGAAUGAAUGAAUGGGGAGGCAAACUGCCAACCCCGAGGAGCUGGAAUAGCCACCAGUCCUUUCUGAGCCUAUCCUUGUGCCGGGUGGUGUCAAGUGCUUCUCCUUCACCACCCACUCACUUCACCCCACACCAUGUUGGGGAGUGCACUCCUUGGCCUCAUUUUACAAAGCGC